GUGUUCUCUCUGCUUAUAGAUCAGGAUGUAGCUCUCAGCUACUGUUCCAGCACCGGGAGCAUUGCCCUGCUCCCACCAUGAUGAUAGUGGACCAACCCUCUGAAACAGGGGGUGAUGCUAGCUAUCAAACAGAGGCGCUGCGGCUUACCAAGCAUGGGCUCCACCACUGAUUGAAAACUUAGCCCCCAGGAACCAGAUAGUGUUUCUCUGUGUAGCCCUAGCUGUCCUGGAACUCUCUUUGUAGACCAAGCUGGCCUCGAACUCACAGUGAUCCACCUGUCUCUGCCUCCAGAGUGCUGGGAUCAAAGGCGUGCACCACCAUCAUCCAGCUGGAACAAUUUAUUGGUGAAAAAAAAAGUUUCUGUAUAAAUUAAUGAUUCUUUUCUUGGCCUAUACCAAUACAUAAAUAUGGAGCAGGAAUUACUUAUGAAAAUAUUUACAAGCUCAUAUUGCAAUAUAAUUGGUGUUUGAGCACUCCAUUAAUAUUUAAUUUUUCAUCAACUAAAUUAAUAUUUAAUUUUUCUUGAACUAAUUUAUUGGCAUAUUUUCAACAUUCUACCAAGGGACAUGCCAUAAAUCAUAUUAAUAAUGUAUAGCAUGAGAGCCUUUCAUAUUUCUUUUCUGAGCUAUCAUUUAAAAAUAAUUUUCUAUGACAGGAAAUUCCAAAUGUAGUAUUUAUGGAAGAUAAGACUUCUGUGAUUGGCUUCAGCA
rnacentral:lncRNA from 1 species